rnacentral:misc_RNA from 1 species
AAGUCGUAACAAGGUUUCCGUAGGUGAACCUGCGGAAGGAUCAUUAAUGAAAUGAUGUUUUUUGGGGUUUUUAAUCUCAAAAAAUAAUUCACCUUUUGUGCAUUGUUAUUUAGAUAUACUUUGGUUAGUGCUUUGGUUCCAAAACAACUGGAAUCAACUUCUUGCUGACUCUAUCCUUUUUAAAGGACAGUUGGCUAUGAAGCGGCCUACCAAGGUUUUUUAUCAAACACAUUUAAUCCAACUGACCUAAAACAAAUAAUUAAAUCAUAACUUUCAACAACGGAUCUCUUGGCUCUC